AUGGCUUCCAGCCGGGUCGCCAUGAGCACUAACUGCUCAGCAAAUGAACCUCCAGAGAUUCUGGACAACGUGGGAGAUUGGCUUCGGGGCGUCUAAUGCUUUGCAACCGAUAGGAAUGAUUUCCAGAGGAACUUGAUCUUCAAUUUGAGACUCUUUGCUGCAGGAGUUUGGCUGGCUAGGAACUUGAGUGACAUUGACUUCAUGGCACCUCAGCCAGAGGUGACAAAUGGAAUCCUGUGCUGUACCCAAACCACCUAAAAACAGGCUAUGAUCUGUGACCACCACAAGAUAUGCCCUGAUGGCAGCUCAAAUUUGGUUCAGAGGGGCACCUUCCUUUUCCCUGUCUGGUUUCCUUUUGUUCCUUGAGUCCACUCAGAACUCCAUUCUCUGGUCAGCAGUCAAGCUUAAGCUAAAGCAUUGCCUCUGUUUGUAAAAAUUCCGUACAUAGUUCCCAAGUUUCUGCAGGGGGUGAUCUUUACUCUUGUCCUGAGAAAUAGCAAUGGUGUUUUAACAAAUAUCUGAAAUAAAGAUUGUACAUACACACACA